UCCGUUGAUGCCUGAUUAAUCCCACGGCCAGAGAGGUACCGCAUGCAAUCCCUCAUUGUCGUUGCUAACCAACCGUAUUUGACGCAGGCAUCCUCGCAUAACCCCUAAUCCCUCUCAUCUUUUACUCCCCCUAAUCCCUCUCAUGUUGCAUCUCUUCCAGACCUCCAUUCAUCUCUCAUCUCUCGUCGGACCUCCCUUCGCCGUCAACCAUGCUGCCCCUGUCCUCUAUUGAAGCACCCAGAUUUUACGUCCGACGUGCCAUUGCUUCCUUUCCACCUCGCGCCGAAGAUCCAAUCCAUGACCAACGCUGCAGUUGACUACACCGCCCAGAUCCGACCCCAUGUGUGGAUCUGGAACUGUGCCAACCUACUUCCCCUGGCGACAUCCCAAUUGACAAGUGUGUCAUUCCAGCAUUAGGUGGCCGUUCCCACCAUAUCCACCACGUUUGUUGCCUCACCAGGUUGCUAGGAGGUUUGAACUAAGUGCCGGAGUACCACCCGACGGCCGAAGAAACAUCAGAUUGGAUACUUUCCCCUCCUCGCCUUGCCUCCCAAUCAAAGUUGUGUGCUAGAUUUGGAGCUGAUGGGAACUGCCUGUAUAUGGAGGUGACCGAUGCAUGCACCUAGAAGUGUGAUGACACAUUGAUCUGGCCUAGAAUGAGGAUGACCUAUAGGAAACAUAAGAUAUUCAUUUAGAAGCAGCGAACGUAAUAUUGGCGACUUGGAAGGAAAUAAUUUUGUAUCACGCUUUAAACUUAAGAGUAUGAAGGGAUGAAGCAAGAAACAAACUUAUGUUCUGUUGAAGAAAACUUAUUUUUACCA